rnacentral:rRNA from 1 species
GAUGAACGCUAGCUACAGGCUUAACACAUGCAAGUCGAGGGGCAGCAUGAACUUAGCUUGCUAAGUUUGAUGGCGACCGGCGCACGGGUGAGUAACACGUAUCCAACCUUCCGUUUACUCAGGGAUAGCCUUUCGAAAGAAAGAUUAAUACCUGAUAGUAUGGUGAGAUUGCAUGAUAACACCAUUAAAGAUUUAUUGGUAAACGAUGGGGAUGCGUUCCAUUAGGUAGUAGGCGGGGUAACGGCCCACCUAGCCUGCGAUGGAUAGGGGUUCUGAGAGGAAGGUCCCCCACAUUGGAACUGAGACACGGUCCAAACUCCUACGGGAGGCAGCAGUGAGGAAUAUUGGUCAAUGGACGAGAGUCUGAACCAGCCAAGUAGCGUGCAGGAUGACGGCCCUAUGGGUUGUAAACUGCUUUAUAAGGGAUAAAGUGGGAGUCGUGACUCUUUUUGCAUGUACCUUAUGAAUAAGGACCGGCUAAUUCCGUG